GGGAGAUGACCUGAUUGAAUAAGGAUUUAAGCGGAUCAUUCUGGCUGUCACAUGGGGAAUGGAGUGCAGCAGGCAAGCAUGGGGGGAGGGACACCAAGCGUGAGACCAGUGCAGAGGCCUGCAGCAGGUGGCCGCAGAGGAGAUGGGACAAGGAGGACAGACUCAAGGCGAUUUGGAAAGUAGAACCGAUGGGAAUUGGUGGUGGUGCAGUAGUGGGAUGAGGGCGCAGAGACUGUCCGAUGGAUGGCCAGUUAGCAAGGAAAGAAUGGAAUGCAGGAGGGAGUUUGGGGAUGGAAGGGGAAGAGCAACCAUGGGUGUCACACUUUAUGUUAAUAUUACUAGACUUCUGUUAUCUGUGAAAUUGCAGGGAGAGGAAGACAACGAAUCAGAAUGGGAAGGGAGUUUGCAUUUCUCGAGGACCUCAGGGACACAUCCUCAGGGACACAUGCACAGACUAGUGCUGCUUCUCAAGUUGCUCUGGUUACCGCAAUGGGGUAUCGAUCAGGGACGGCGUGGAGCCGAGGGUUUCAGCCGAGCCUCCGGGAGGCCAGGCUUUGGUCUGAACUGGAAGAGCACAAAGGCCAGCGGUGUCCUGUGGUGCGCGGAGCGCGCGAGGGCCAAGAACCCGAGCUCUGCACCGCUGGGGCACCUUCCUGCCCAUUCAGACGGAGCGAGCCGCUGGAGGGGGUGCAUGAGGUUGGCGUCACCUUGUUCCUCUCCAGAGCCGCCGGGAGGAGCUAGGUGGCCAGAGCACAGCAAAGACAGAGUUGCCAUCGUCCACACAACUUGACGGAAGGCCAGGCCAGCAGGGAGAUUGUGAUGCAGGAAAGUCAACUCGGCGGGGACUUCCAGCUGUUCCUUUCCACACCCGGGGCCCACUGGCUCGAUCUGCCCUCAGCUCUCCCUCUGUUGCCGUGUUUUUGGGGUGCCUCCUACUGCCGGGACCAUGCCCUCCUCCCUAAAGUCCACACUCCCAAGCACUGAGGGGGGCAGUCGUGCUUCCUCUCCACCCCCACGGUCCCACUGGUGCCCCCGUCCUGACAUCUUCCCUGUUUAUGAAUGAGGCCGCAACAAAGGCAGCCUUCAACACUUCUUGCGCACACCACAGUCGGGCCCUGGUGUCUCCCACACCCCUUCCCCGGGAAGGAUUCUGACUUUCUCUUGCACGGUGAUCGUCGGAGUCUCCUAUUAUUAUUUUUCCUAAAACACAGUAGCAAUCUGCCUUCAAAGAUGAAGCCAAAUGGCCAGCUCUAGAGACAAGGAUGUCCUGCCACUUUACAUGGCAGCCCUACCUCUCCAGCUUGUAGGGGCUGGCUGUCCCCUUGCCCACGCCGCCCAUCACACCAGGGUCCCCCUCCCCGAGUCACGUCAGUGUUCCCUCAUGGCUGGACCACAGCCCGGGGUCCCUCAACCCGCCCGACUGCUGCUGUUGUCAGGUGGAUGCUGAUGGCUUCAUGGCAUGGCUCACUGUCCCUCACACUGGGCUGGUGACCUCCUGGAGAGCCUGGAUUUUCAUGACAGGACGCCCUUGGGCCGGAGGAAGAGUGUCCAGUUUCAGGCCCUGUUCCCCUCAGCACAUUCUAUGCUGCCUGAGGAUGAACGUCCUGCCCCCGGGCCAGGGACGCAGGUGCCGGACAGCAGCCCAGAGACCUCCCGGAUCUCCUCGCACAGGUGUCUGGGUUGUAGGGAGACCAGCUCCUCUGCGGGCUGGAGGUGGGGCUCUGGAUCAGGCACAGGGCAUCUGCAGCCCGGGCACCCGGGGACCCGUGGACACCUGGUGGCCUUUGCAGCUUCCAGAGAACGGGGCGGGAUGUUUGUGCAGCCCUGACAUGUGCUUGGGCAGAGGCCGGAGCUCCAGGGUCUAGCGCAGUGGUGACACCGCGUGUUAUGAACGUGGUGGAGCCGCACCAAAUAACCCUUGGGACCUCUGCCCCGAGCGCACACCCUGCCCUCAGCUCUCUUCUCCUGGGCAUCAUCAUUCCGUAUCGCAACCCACACACGUCAACCCUGAGUGUUCUUCACCACCUUUUAACAGCUCGUAAUUUACCCCUACUUGUCUAGUCGUCACGACUGGACAUUGGGAUGGGUUACCUUGUGUCUCCCCCGAUUCACAUGUUGGCGUCACAGUCCCCAGAAUGUCAUCUUGUUUGGAGAUGGGGUCUUUACGGAGAUGAUCAAGUUAAAAUAAGGUCAUCCCAAUGGGUCCUAAACCCAAGGACUGGCAUCCUUAGUGUUAGGGGAAAUUUGGACACAGAGACAGAGACAUGAAGUGAAGACCAUGUGAAGACUCAGGGAGAAGGCAGCUGCCCACCCGCCUCGGUCCUGGACUUCUGGCCUCCAGAACCCAGAGACAAUGAGUUCUGUUGUUGAGGCCCCCGGUCUGUGGGUCUAGCCGUCCGUCCUAGCAAAGGGAUGCAGACCUUUUCAUAUAAUAGAUAAUCCCAUGAGAGCAUCUCCACGCCUGCGUGAGCAAGGUGUGCACCUUUGCUCUUUUGCCAGGACCCGCUCACAUGCCCUCACUCCCCACGGCCCCUCCUCCCCCCUCUGUGGGCACCGUGUGCCCAUGUGUCCCUCCGCCACGGCCCCCGCCCCCGGCGGCAGUCAGCACAGAAUCGCAUCGCUGCCGGUUCACUGCUCUGCAUCCCUGGUCCUAGGCCAGUGCGGUGGGUGCUAGAUGGGUCUCUGCUGCACAAAGAUGGGGGUGGUGGUGGCUGCACUUGGAGGCUGGUGGGGACAGUAUUGGGUUCUGGAUGGUCUUCCCAUGUGAGCCCCACGUUGUAACCAGGCGGGACGUGGAGGCUCUGAUGCCCACGCUGACUGAAGUGGAGGCCAAGGGUGGUGGCUGUGCCCUGGGACCCCGGCAGGGAGCGCAGCCAGGGCCUACCAGUGGCGGCCAGCCCGGUCAGGGAAGAAGCCACCGGCGCAGACACAACACUCAGCCUGGGCGAGACAGCCCAUCUCAGGACGAGUCUUGCUGUUUGAUCCGGAGUAAGUCGAUAGCCCUUUGUGUCAGGACAGUGGAAUUCCUUUCACCGUUAAAAUGCUAAAAAUCUGCUGCCUAAAAGUUUGUAACGUGGGUUUGAAAUUGGAACGUCAGUCUUCCAUAGAUAAUAAAAGUAUUAGGUGUUUACUGUGCUGCCAAGUUUUAUCUUAAGAAAAAAGGAGGUUCAUUGAACGGCAGGGAACUCGAGCCUCCUCCAAGUGGAUUGGGACUCAAGGAAGUUUCCAGAUGCAGCUGAAACUCUGCAAACCAAGGCCGAGGUCCAGGCCUGGGGCUUGAGCAAAUGCGAUUGAGAACUCUGUGUGUGUGUGCGUGCAGGCAUGCAUGUGUAUGCAUGUGUGUGCAUGUGCGUGGAGGUGUGUGCAUGUGCCUACAGGUGCAUGCAGGUGCGUGCACUCUGCUGGGUGGGGACCCAGGUCUCGGUGUCCCAGGACUCAGUCAGGUUCACCCUCUGCAGCCACAGUGAUGCUGGGCCCGCUUGCCAGUGGCCUGCCUGCAGGACUUCUGUCCUUUACAGCCACACGUAGCCGUGGGAAAAGUCUGGGGAGGUCAGGGACAGGGUGGAGGAUUUCUUGC
rnacentral:lncRNA from 1 species